rnacentral:rRNA from 1 species
GACGAACGCUGGCGGCGUGCUUAACACAUGCAAGUCGAACGGUGAAGGGAUCAGCUUGCUGGUUCUGGAUGAGUGGCGAACGGGUGAGUAACACGUGAGUAACCUGCCCCCUUCUUCUGGAUAACCGCAUGAAAGUGUGGCUAAUACGGGAUAUUCUGGGUCUGUCGCAUGAUGGGUCUGGGAAGGAUAUUGUUUCGGUGGGGGAUGGGCUCGCGGCCUAUCAGCUUGUUGGUGGGGUGCUGGCCUACCAAGGCGGUGACGGGUAGCCGGCCUGAGGGGGUGGACGGUCACACUGGGACUGAGACACGGCCCAGACUCGGACGGGAGGCAGCGGUGGGGAAUAGUGCACGAGGGGCGCAAGCCUGAUGCAGCGACGCCGGGUGAGGGAUGGAGGCCUUCGGGUUGUAAACCUCUUUCGCAAGUGAAGCAGGCCGGCUCCAUGUGGGUGGGUUGACGGUAGCUGGAUAAGAAGCGCCGGCUAACUACGUG